rnacentral:rRNA from 1 species
AUGUAUGGUGCUGCUUCAUGUUAUCAUUAUGAAAAAGAAUCAUUCUCUAUCGUGUCUUGGAAUGUUCGCGGGUUAGGCGACCAUGACAAAUGUGCUAAUGUGUUCUCUGAACUUAACAACUUGCGCCCUUCAAUCGCUCUGCUCCAAGAAACUAAGCUGCAAAAACCAGAUACAAUCAAACUGCGCUCUAUCUUGCCACGUUUCCUUGACUCUAACAACCACCUUGACGCAAUCGGAUCUGCGGGAGGAAUUCUCUCGGCCUCUAACUCACGUUGCUUCACGCUUCUUAAUUGUCAACAUAGGCGUUUUACACUACCCUAACUCUCUCAUGCAAUCGCCUCGCCACAUAAUAUCUUUAUCACAAACGUCUAUGCCCCCUCGCAACGGGAUCUAAAACUCGAAUUCCUCGACGAACUUAAACAGCUCGAACCACCACCUCAAUCUCCCUGGCUCCUAAUCGGAGAUUUUAACCUAAUCCGCUUCCCUAAUGAAAGGAACAACAACAACUUCCGACGAUCCGAGGCCGACGCUUUCAAUGACACCAUUGAUCAGCUUGCUCUUUUAGAACUCCCUCUUCUAGAUCGCCAAUUUACUUGGUCAAAUAAAAGGAUGUCACCUACACUAGUACGACUAGAUAGAGUUCUUAUAAACCUGUCUUGGGAUGCUCUAUUCCCUAACUUGCACCUCACCUCUCUUACUCGAUUCGCCUCUGAUCACGUACCACUCUUGGUUACUAUAUCCACAACCAUUCCUUCUUCCCGCCUUUUUCGGUUUGAACGCUAUUGGACCUCCUCCAGGCCUGCAGAAACAUCGUGCGCAACAUCUGGCAGCCCAAUGUUCAAAACCAUAAUGGGCCUCUUGCAGACUCCGCUGCUUCUCUUGCUCAAAACAUUAAAAAAACACAACCGGCCCUAA